rnacentral:rRNA from 1 species
UACAGAGGUGGCAAGCGUUGUUCGGAAUUACUGGGCGUAAAGGGCGCGUAGGUGGCCUUUUGAGUCAGACGUGAAAUCCCCCGGCUUAACCUGGGAACUGCGUCUGAUACUGGAAGGCUUGAGUUCGGGAGAGGGAUGUGGAAUUCCAGGUGUAGCGGUGAAAUGCGCAGAUAUCGGGAAGAACACCCGUGGCGAAGGCGGCUCUCUGGGACGGUACUGACGCUGAGACGCGAAAGCGUGGGGAGCGAACAGG